rnacentral:rRNA from 1 species
GAUGAACGCUUGCGGCGUGCCUAAUAUCUGUAAGUCUAGCGAACGGACGAGAAGCUUUCUUCUCUGAUGUUAUCCGCGGACGGGUGAGUAACACGUGGAUAACCUAUCUAUAAUCCUGGGAUAACUUCGGGAAACCGUAGCUCAUACCGUUUAAUAUUUUUAACCGCAUGGUUCAAAAGUUAAAGACGGUCUUGCUGUCCCUUAUAGCUGGAUCCGCGCUGCAUUAGCUAGUUGGUAAGGUAACGGCUUACCAACGCAACGAUGCAUAGCCGACCUGAGAGGGUGAUCGGCCAAACUGGAACUGAGACACGGUCAAGACGAAUAAGAGAGGCAGCAGAAGGGGAUCGUCGGCAAGGGGCGAAAGCUUGACGGAGCAACGCCGCAGGAGUGAUGAAGGUCUUCGGAUCAUAAAACUCGGUUAUUAGGGAAGAACAUAUGUGUAAGUAACGGUGCACAUCUUGAAGGGAAAUAAUCAGAAAGGCACAGAUAACUACGUA